UACAGAGGUGGCAAGCGUUGUUCGGAAUUACUGGGCGUAAAGGGCGCGUAGGCGGUUCGUUAAGUCCUGUGUGAAAUCCCCCGGCUCAACUCAGGAAUGGCAUUGGAAACUGGCGGGCUAGAAUACCGGAGAGGGAAGCGGAAUUCCUGGUGUAGCGGUGAAAUGCGUAGAUACCAGGAGGAACACCGGUGGCGAAGGCGGCUUCCUGGACGGAUUAUUGACGCUGAGGCACGAAAGCGUGGGGAGCAAACGGG
rnacentral:rRNA from 1 species